UACGGAGGGUGCAAGCGUUGUCCGGAAUCAUUGGGCGUAAAGCGUUCGUAGGUGGUAUGUUAAGUCUGGUGUUAAAGCCCGAAGCUCAACUUCGGUUCGGCACUGGAUACUGGCAAACUUGAAUGUGGUAGAGGUAAAGGGAAUUCCUGGUGUAGCGGUGAAAUGCGUAGAUAUCAGGAGGAACAUCGGUGGCGAAAGCGCUUUACUGGGCCAUUAUUGACACUGAGGAACGAAAGCCGGGGUAGCAAAUGGG
rnacentral:rRNA from 1 species